rnacentral:rRNA from 1 species
AUUGAACGCUGGCGGCAUGCUUUACACAUGCAAGUCGAACGGUAACAGGCCUUCGGGCGCUGACGAGUGGCGAACGGGUGAGUAAUGCAUCGGAACGUGCCCAGUCGUGGGGGAUAACUAUCCGAAAGGAUAGCUAAUACCGCAUACGAUCUGCGGAUGUAAGCGGGGGACCUUCGGGCCUCGCGCGAUUGGAGCGGCCGAUGUCAGAUUAGGUAGUUGGUGGGGUAAAGGCUCACCAAGCCAACGAUCUGUAGCUGGUCUGAGAGGACGACCAGCCACACUGGGACUGAGACACGGCCCAGACUCCUACGGGAGGCAGCAGUGGGGAAUUUUGGACAAUGGGCGCAAGCCUGAUCCAGCAAUGCCGCGUGCAGGAAGAAGGCCUUCGGGUUGUAAACUGCUUUUGUACGGAACGAAACGGCUCUGGUUAAUACCCGGGGCUAAUGACGGUACCGUAAGAAUAAGCACCGGCUAACUACGUGCCAGCCGCCGCGGUAA